AUUAAUACAAGGGGACUUGAAAAAGUUCGUGGAAAAAAGAGAAUUAAAAGAUAAAAAUGACAAAUAUAAAUUCUCUAAGAAGGAAGAAAUCAUCAGAGAGAAAAAUACACACUAUAGUUUUUGACUCUAAAAAUGUUUCUUACAAAAUUCUAUUUUAAAACUUUGGGUUAGUAAUUUUUACUACUCAUACAGCACUCUGGAGGAAGUAGACAGAAAGAUGCUUUUGCAGGCUUAGCCCAUGCCUCCACCCCAGAUCUUGUCCACUCCUGGGUCUUGCUAGGCUGUUGCUCUGCAAGCUGUGGAUUCUACAGGUAUGUACU
rnacentral:lncRNA from 1 species